GUCAAUGGUCUAGUGGUAUGAUUGUCGCUUCGGGACUCUUAUUGCCUAUGGCUGCAAACAAGCCAUAAGAAUGUGACAGGCCUCGGGUUCGAAUCCCGAUUGAGCC